rnacentral:tRNA from 1 species
AACAGCGUGGCUCAGUGGAAAGAGCACAGGCUUGGGAGUCUGAGGUCAUGGGUUCUAAUCCUGGCUCUGCUG